UAGGUAUUUGCAGCAGCUGAAAACAAUUGAAGCACGUUAAAAAUGGGGCUCCACCAGCUACAGGUAGACAUAAUUGUCCACUAGGCUGACCCCUGGGAGGAAGUCGACGAGCAAAACCACCUACAGCAAAUGCACCUCUAUUUUGAUGAUGGUGGAACGUUGGAUUCUGUGAAAUGUCAGAGAACCUUUUCUCACCAAAAGCAGCGGGUGGAGCUCGUCUACGGACUUGAUUUAAGUUGCAGCAGUGAAAACAAUUACAAGAUGGAUGAUGAGGAUUAGCCUGAGGCAGGUAAGGUCGAUAAGGAUCUGUAGGUGGGAUUUCAUUACCCAUUGACCGCCCAGAAAAACGGGAGUGAGAGGGCUGCAAUUGAAAUGGAGCUGGGGCUUCGUAUGGAUCUCCACCAAGCAAUUGGGACCUUCGAGGACCUCCAUAUCCCUGGAUACGGUCUCUAGAAGGAUAAAAUCCACCGCCAGCCAUGUGAUGAGAAUUCAUAGAAGGCGAG
rnacentral:misc_RNA from 1 species